rnacentral:rRNA from 1 species
AACGUAGGAGACAAACGUUAUCCGGAGUUACUGGGCGUAAAGGGCGUGUAGGUGGUGCUGUAAGUUCGGCGUGAAAUUUUUCGGCUUAACCGGGAAAGGUCGUCGGAUACUGCAGGACUAGAGGACGGUAGAGGCGUGUGGAAUUCCGGGUGUAGUGGUGAAAUGCGUUGAUAUCGUUAGGAACUCCGGUGGCGAAGGCGGCACGCUGGACCCUCACUGACGCUGAGGCGCGAAGGCCAGGGGAGCGAACGGG